CCUACGGGAGGCAGCAGUGGGGAAUAUUGCACAAUGGGCGAAAGCCUGAUGCAGCGACGCCGCAUGAGGGAUGACGGCCUUCGGGUUGUAAACCUCUUUCAGCAGGGAAGAAGCGAAAGUGACGGUACCUGCAGAAGAAGCGCCGGCUAACUACGUGCCAGCAGCCGCGGUAAUACGUAGGGCGCAAGCGUUGUCCGGAAUUAUUGGGCGUAAAGAGCUCGUAGGCGGCUUGUUGCGUCGGUUGUGAAAGCCCGGGGCUUAACCCCGGGUCUGCAGUCGAUACGGGCAGGCUAGAGUGUGGUAGGGGAGAUCGGAAUUCCUGGUGUAGCGGUGAAAUGCGCAGAUAUCAGGAGGAACACCGGUGGCGAAGGCGGAUCUCUAGGCCAUUACUGACGCUGAGGAGCGAAAGCGUGGGGAGCGAACAGGAUUAGAUACCCUGGUAGUCCACGCCGUAAACGUUGGGAACUAGGUGUUGGCGACAUUCCACGUCGUCGGUGCCGCAGCUAACGCAUUAAGUUCCCCGCCUGGGGAGUACGGCCGCAAGGCUAAAACUCAAAGGAAUUGACGG
rnacentral:rRNA from 1 species